GAUGCGCCAUGCCGCGUGUAUGAAGAAGGCCUUCGGGUUGUAAAGUACUUUCAGUUGUGAGGAAGGGGGUGUCGUUAAUAGCGGCAUCUCUUGACGUUAGCAACAGAAGAAGCACCGGCUAACUCCGUGCCAGCAGCCGCGGUAAUACGGAGGGUGCGAGCGUUAAUCGGAAUUACUGGGCGUAAAGCGCAUGCAGGUGGUUCAUUAAGUCAGAUGUGAAAGCCCGGGGCUCAACCUCGGAACUGCAUUUGAAACUGGUGAACUAGAGUACUGUAGAGGGGGGUAGAAUUUCAGGUGUAGCGGUGAAAUGCGUAGAGAUCUGAAGGAAUACCAGUGGCGAAGGCGGCCCCCUGGACAGAUACUGACACUCAGAUGCGAAAGCGUGGGGAGCAAACAGGAUUAGAUACCCUGGUAGUCCACGCCGUAAACGAUGUCUACUUGGAGGUUGUGGCCUUGAGCCGUGGCUUUCGGAGCUAACGCGUUAAGUAGACCGCCUGGGGAGUACGGUCGCAAGAUUAAAACUCAAAUGAAUUGACGGGGGCCCGCACAAGCGGUGGAGCAUGUGGUUUAAUUCGAUGCAACGCGAAGAACCUUACCUACUCUUGACAUCCAGAGAAGCCAGCGGAGACGCAGGUGUGCCUUCGGGAGCUCUGAGACAGGUGCUGCAUGGCUGUCGUCAGCUCGUGUUGUGAAAUGUUGGGUUAAGUCCCGCAACGAGCGCAACCCUUAUCCUUGUUUGCCAGCGAGUAAUGUCGGGAACUCCAGGGAGACUGCCGGUGAUAAACCGGAGGAAGGUGGGGACGACGUCAAGUCAUCAUGGCCCUUACGAGUAGGGCUACACACGUGCUACAAUGGCGCAUACAGAGGGCAGCGAACUUGCGAGAGUGAGCGAAUCCCAAAAAGUGCGUCGUAGUCCGGAUUGGAGUCUGCAACUCGACUCCAUGAAGUCGGAAUCGCUAGUAAUCGUAGAUCAGAAUGCUACGGUGAAUACGUUCCCGGGCCUUGUACACACCGCCCGUCACACCAUGGGAGUGGGCUGCAAAAGAAGUGGGUAGUUUAACCUUUCGGGGAAGACGCUCACCCUUUGGGUCAUGAUGGGUGACG
rnacentral:rRNA from 1 species